rnacentral:rRNA from 1 species
UUCUAGCUUGCUAGAAGUGGAUUAGUGGCGCACGGCUGAGUAAUGCAUAGGUUAUGUGCCCUUUAGUCUGGGAUAGCCACUGGAAACGGUGAUUAAUACUGGAUACUCCCUACGGGGGAAAGUUUUUCGCUAAAGGAUCAGCCUAUGUCCUAUCAGCUUGUUGGUGAGGUAAUGGCUCACCAAGGCUAUGACGGGUAUCCGGCCUGAGAGGGUGAUCGGACACACUGGAACUGAGACACGGUCCAGACUCCUACGGGAGGCAGCAGUAGGGAAUAUUGCUCAAUGGGGGAAACCCUGAAGCAGCAACGCCGCGUGGAGGAUGAAGGUUUUAGGAUUGUAAACUCCUUUUGUUAGAGAAGAUUAUGACGGUAUCUAACGAAUAAGCACCGGCUAACUCCGUGCCAGCAGCCGCGGUAAUACGGAGGGUGCAAGCGUUACUCGGAAUCACUGGGCGUAAAGAGUGCGUAGGCGGGGUAAUAAGUCAGAUGUGAAAUCCUGUAGCUUAACUACAGAACUGCAUUUGAAACUGUUACUCUGGAGUGUGGGAGAGGUAGGUGGAAUUCUUGGUGUAGGGGUAAAAUCCGUAGAGAUCAAGAGGAAUACUCAUUGCGAAGGCGACCUGCUGGAACAUUACUGACGCUGAUGCACGAAAGCGUGGGGAGCAAACAGGAUUAGAUACCCUGGUAGUCCACGCCCUAAACGAUGGAUGCUAGUUGUUGCCUUGCUUGUCAGGGCAGUAAUGCAGCUAACGCAUUAAGCAUCCCGCCUGGGGAGUACGGUCGCAAGAUUAAAACUCAAAGGAAUAGACGGGGACCCGCACAAGCGGUGGAGCAUGUGGUUUAAUUCGAAGAUACGCGAAGAACCUUACCUAGGCUUGACAUUGAU